CCCUGUCGUGCUUGACGUUCUAACCUGGGCCCAUUAUCUGGGUCGGGGACCGUGUAUGGUGGGUAGUUUGACUGGGGCGGUCUCCUCCUAAAGAGUAACGGAGGAGCUCGAAGGUACGCUCAGCGCGGUCGGACAUCGCGCACUGUGUGCAAAGGCAUAAGCGUGCUUGACUGCAAGAUCGACGGAUCAAGCAGGUAGGAAACUAGGACUUAGUGAUCCGGUGGUUCUGUAUGGAAGGGCCAUCGCUCAACGGAUAAAAGGUACUCCGGGGAUAACAGGCUGAUACCGCCCAAGAGUUCAUAUCGACGGCGGUGUUUGGCACCUCGAUGUCGGCUCAUCACAUCCUGGGGCUGUAGUCGGUCCCAAGGGUAUGGCUGUUCGCCAUUUAAAGUGGUACGCGAGCUGGGUUCAGAACGUCGUGAGACAGUUCGGUCCCUAUCUGCCAUGGGCGUUGGAGAUUUGAGAGGGGCUGCUCCUAGUACGAGAGGACCGGAGUGGACGAACCUCUGGUGUUCCGGUUGUCACGCCAGUGGCAUUGCCGGGUAGCUAUGUUCGGAAGCGAUAACCGCUGAAAGCAUCUAAGCGGGAAGCGCGCCUCAAGAUGAGAUCUCCCGGGGCACAAGCCCCCUGAAGGAACCAUGUAGACUACGUGGUUGAUAGGUCAGGUGUGUAAGUACAGCAAUGUAUUGAGCUAACUGAUACUAAUGAUCCGUGCGGCUUGACCAU
rnacentral:rRNA from 1 species